rnacentral:rRNA from 1 species
UAAUCUUAUCUGGUAAAGCGAAUGAUUAGAGGCCUUAGGGUCGAAACGAUCUUAACCUAUUCUCAAACUUUAAAUGGGUAAGAACCUAGCCUUUCUUGAUAUGAAGGUUUUGGUUAUGAUAUAUUGUGCCCAGUGGGCCACUUUUGGUAAGCAGAACUGGCGCUGUGGGAUGAACCAAACAUAAUGUUAAGGUGCCAAAAUUAACAACUCAUACAGAUACCAUGAAAGGCGUUGGUUGCUUAAAACAGCAGGACGGUGGCCAUGGAAGUCGGAAUCCGCUAAGGAGUGUGUAACAACUCACCUGCCGAAGCAACUAGCCCUUAAAAUGGAUGGCGCUUAAGUUGUAUACCUAUACAUUAUCGCUAAAGUAAAUGAANNA